rnacentral:rRNA from 1 species
GACGAACGCUGGCGGCGUGCUUAACACAUGCAAGUCGAACGGAGUGGCGAACGGGUGAGUAUCACGUGGGUGAUCUGCCUUGCACUUCGGGAUAAGCUUGGGAAACUGGGUCUAAUACCGGAUAUUGCAAGAUGAGCUCGCGGCCUAUCGGCUUGUUGGUGGGGUAAUGGCCUACCAAGGGGUCGACGGAUAGCCGGCCUGAGAGGGUGUACGGCCACAUUGGGACUGAGAUACGGACCAGACGCCUACGGGAGGCAGCAGGGGGGAAUAUGGCACAAUGGGCGGAAGCCUGAUGCAGCGACGCCGCGUGGGGGAUGAAGGCCUUCGGGUUGUAAACUCCUUUCGGCAGGGACGCGGUACCUGGAGAAGAAGCACCGGCUAACUACGUGCCAGCAGCCGCGGUAAUUC